rnacentral:rRNA from 1 species
GCUAGUAAUGGCAGGUCAGCAUACUGCCGUGAAUACGUUCCCGGGCCCUUGUACACACCGCCCGUCACACCAUGAGAGUUGGGAAUACCCGAAGCCUGUGAGCUAACUAAUAGAGGCAGCAGUCGAAGGUAGAAUCAAUGAUUGGGGUGAAGUCGUAACAAGGUAAC